rnacentral:rRNA from 1 species
AAGCGUUAGCUGCGCCACUGAAAGACAUAGUCUCCCAACAGCUAGUUGUCAUCGUUUACGGCGUGGACUACCAGGGUAUCUAAUCCUGUUCGCUACCCACGCUUUCGCACCUCAGUGUCAGUACAGAUCCAGGAGGCCGCCUUCGCCACUGGUAUUCUUCAUAAUAUCUACGCAUUCCACCGCUACACUAUGAAUUCUACCUCCCUCUAUCGUACUCUAGUGAGUUAGUUUUGGAUGCAGUUCCUAGGUUGAGCCCAGGGCUUUCACAUCCAACUUAACAAACCACCUACGCGCGCUUUACGCCCAGUAAUUCCGAUUAACGCUUGCACCUUCCGUAUUACCGCGGCUGCUGGCACGGAAUUAGCCGGUGCUUAUUCUGCAGGUAACAUCAGGGUUAUAAGGUAUUAACUUAUAACUUUUUCUCCCUGCUUAAAGUGCUUUACAACCCGAAGGCCUUC